UGCGUAGGCGGACUUUCAAGUCGGAUGUGAAAUCUGGUGGCUUAACUGCCAGUCUGCAUUCGAUACUGUUAGUCUUGAGUACAGGAGGGGAGAGUGGAAUUCCAGGUGUAGCGGUGGAAUGCGUAGAUAUCUGGAAGAACACCGGUAGCGAAGGCGACUCUCUGGACUGAUACUGACGCUAAAGCACGAAGGCUAGGGGAGCAAACAGGAUUAGAUACCCUGGUAGUC
rnacentral:rRNA from 1 species